GAUGAACGCUGGCGGCGUGCCUAAUACAUGCAAGUCGAGCGAACGGACGAGAAGCUUGCUUCUCUGAUGUUAGCGGCGGACGGGUGAGUAACACGUGGAUAACCUACCUAUAAGACUGGGAUAACUUCGGGAAACCGGAGCUAAUACCGGAUGAUAUUUUGAACCGCAUGGUUCAAAAGUGAAAGACGGUCUUGCUGUCACUUAUAGAUGGAUCCGCGCUGCAUUAGCUAGUUGGUAAGGUAACGGCUUACCAAGGCAACGAUGCAUAGCCGACCUGAGAGGGUGAUCGGCCACACUGGAACUGAGACACGGUCCAGACUCCUACGGGAGGCAGCAGUAGGGAAUCUUACGCAAUGGGCGAAAGCCUGACGGAGCAACGCCGCGUGAGUGAUGAAGGUCUUCGGAUCGUAAAACUCUGUUAUUAGGGAAGAACAUAUGUGUAAGUACCUGUGCACAUCUUGACGGUACCUAAUCAGAAAGCCACGGCUAACUACGUG
rnacentral:rRNA from 1 species